GAUGAAGAACGUAGUAAAAUGCGAUACGUAAUGUGAAUUGCAGAAUUCAGUGAAUCAUCGAGUCUUUGAACGCACAUUGCGCCCGCUAGUAUUCUGGCGGGCAUGCCUGUCCGAGCGUCAUUUCAACCCUCAAGCCCCCGGGCUUGGUGUUGGGGAUCGGCGAGCCUCCGCGCCCGCCGUCCCCUAAAUCUAGUGGCGGUCUCGCUGUAGCUUCCUCUGCGUAGUAGCACACCUCGCACUGGGAAACAGCGCGGCCACGCCGUUAAACCCCCAACUUCUGAACGUUUGACCUCGGAUCAGGUAGGAAUACCCGCUGAACUUAAGCAUAUCAAUAAGCGGAGGA
rnacentral:misc_RNA from 1 species